rnacentral:rRNA from 1 species
CCUACGUGCGGCUGCAGUGGGGAAUAUUGCGCCAUGGGCGAAAGCCUGACGCAGCGACGCCGCGUGAGGGAUGAAGGUCUUCGGAUCGUAAACCUCUGUCAGCAGGGAAGAACGGUCACUGUGCUAAUCAGCAGUGAAUUGACGGUACCUGCAAAGGAAGCACCGGCUAACUCCGUGGCAGCAGCCGCGGUAAUACGGAGGGUGCGAGCGUUAAUCGGAAUUACUGGGCGUAAAGCGCUCGUAGGCGGUAUGUCAAGUCAAGGGUGAAAUCCCCGCGCUCAACGUGGGAACUGCCUUUGAAACGGGCAAACUGGAGUGUGUGAGAGGAUAGUGGAAUUCCAGGUGUAGGAGUGAAAUCCGUAGAUAUCUGGAGGAACAUCAGUGGCGAAGGCGACUAUCUGGCACAUAACUGACGCUGAGGAGCGAAAGCGUGGGUAGCAAACAGGAUUAGAUACCCCUGUAGUC